rnacentral:rRNA from 1 species
GACGAACGCUGGCGGCGUGCUUAACACAUGCAAGUCGAACGGAAAGGCCCUGCUUUUGUGGGGUGCUCGAGUGGCGAACGGGUGAGUAACACGUGAGUAACCUGCCCUUGACUUUGGGAUAACUUCAGGAAACUGGGGCUAAUACCGGAUAGGAGCUCCUGCUGCUUGGUGGGGGUUGGAAAGUUUCGGCGGUUGGGGAUGGACUCGCGGCUUAUCAGCUUGUUGGUGGGGUAGUGGCUUACCAAGGCUUUGACGGGUAGCCGGCCUGAGAGGGUGACCGGCAACAUUGGGACUGAGAUACGGCCCAGACUCCUACGGGAGGCAGCAGUGGGGAAUAUUGCACAAUGGGCGGAAGCCUGAUGCAGCAACGCCGCGUGCGGGAUGACGGCCUUCGGGUUGUAAACCGCUUUCGCCUGUGACGAAGCGUGAGUGACGGUAAUGGGUAAAGAAGCACCGGCUAACUACGUG